GCUAGUCGCACGAGUUCAGACUCGUGGCGAAUAGCUCAGUAACACGUGGCCAAACUACCCUUCGGAACACAAUACCCUCGGGAAACUGAGGCUAAUAGUGUAUACCAUACCACCACUGGAAUGAGUGGUAUGCCAAACGCUCCGGCGCCGAAGGAUGUGGCUGCGGCCGAUUAGGUAGACGGUGGGGUAACGGCCCACCGUGCCAAUAAUCGGUAUGGGUCAUGAGAGUGAGAACCCAGAGACGGAAUCUGAGACAAGAUUCCGGGCCCUACGGGGCGCAGCAGGCGCGAAACCUUUACACUGCACGACAGUGCGAUAGGGGGAUCCCAAGUGCACAGGCAUAGCGCCUGUGCUUUUCGGUACCCUAAGGCGGUACCAGAAUAAGGGCUGGGCAAGACCGGUGCCAGCCGCCGCGGUAAUACCGGCAGCCCAAGUGAUGGCCGAUCUUAUUGGGCCUAAAGCGUCCGUAGCUGGCCGCGCAAGUCUAUCGGGAAAUCCACCUGCUCAACAGGUGGGCGCCCGGUAGAAACUGCGUGGCUUGGGACCGGAAGGCGCGACGGGUACGUCC
rnacentral:rRNA from 2 species